rnacentral:rRNA from 1 species
AUGCAAGUAGAUCAUAGCAAAGAGAGAGUUCUCUUGCGGCGUGCUGAACAUUACACCGGUACGCCAAUAAGGAGGAGAGGGAGAAAUAGUAUGGGUUUCUCUGACGCUGUGCAAUGGUGGGAUGAGUGGCAGCUGCGCAUUCUGGUCCUCGGCAGCCUCUUCAUCCAAUGCUUCCUCUUCUUCUCCUCCAUGGUGCGCAGGUUUGCUCUUCCAUCUUGGCUCAGGCUGUUCAUGUGGCUUGCCUACCUAGGCGGGGAUGCUCUGGCCAUAUACGCCCUGGCCACCCUUUUCAACCGCCACAAGCAGCUGCCCCCAGAUGGGAGCGGCCUGGAGGUCCUGUGGACGCCUGUCCUCCUCAUCCACCUCGGGGGCCAACAUCCGAUGACGGCCUACAGCAUCGAAGACAACGAGCUGUGGGCGCGGCACGCCAUAACCGUGGUGUCCCAGGUCACGGUCGCCCUCUACGUGUUCUGCAAGUCAUGGUCCGGGGAGAAGAGGUUACUUCAGUCGGCAAUCUUGUUGUUCGUCGUUGGGAUUGUCAGAUCCGUCCAGAAGCCAUGGGCUCUAAAGAAUGGUAGUAUCACUGGCAUGGUCGCCUCUUCCUCUCCAUACACGCGAAGGGAACAAGGUUCUUUUGCAUGUAUCUGGGAAGGCUGCAUUUCCAUUGUUGGCUCUGAAUUGUCCGAAAGCGGAAGACAAGAAGAAGCAGCCGAAGAGAAGGACAAUUCCCUUGAAGAAUUUGUACAAGAAGCAAGGACGUGCGUACUGCUGUCAAAGAGAGCCAGUGAUCAAGAGAAUGCCAAAGAACUUGCUUCAGAUUCUGCGGAAAUGUAUGCCUACAGGCUACUGGUAGACAUAUCAACUCCAUACUCUAGUCGGAUUAAAAUCCUAAAACUUCUACUGGCCCUUGAUUGCCCACAUGCACAUUCCAUCUCAGAAUCCAGGCUGAGGUGGUUAUUUGCGGUGCUCUACACAAAUUGGAAUAUGAUAUUCAGUGGCCUUGGCUUAUGUUUGCACCUCUUGCUUCCAUUCGUGACAUUAGCUUCUGUCAUCCUCUUCUCCACUAGCCACACCCACACAUAUCAGGACUACAACACAGCAGAUGUCAAGUUAACUUACAUCCUAUUAUGUUGUACCUUGCCGCUGGAUUUCCUAUUUCUCUUGCUCGGUCCAUUCAGCGGAGGCCUUGGAUUCAUCAAGGUGUCCCAAUAUAGCCUUUUGUCGUUCUAUGCUCGUAAGAACGGCCCCACUACUUUGAUGAAGCUUUCCACAGUUGUGUGCUGCAAGGACUAUGUUAACAUGCAUUGUUAUAUAGAACACGAACCAUCUGAUUCCUCAGAUAUAAUUACAGAGUUGGUCCUUGGAUAUGUGAAGGAUGGGUGGAAAGGAUACAUCCACGAUGCUGCGAGCUACAAGAGAUUCAACAGCCACAGGGGCGAGUGGACACUAAACAAGCAUCGUCUAGGCCACACCAAACGGCUGGGGUGGAGCUUGAAGAUGGCGUUCGAUAGAAGCAUCCUUCUUUGGCACAUUACCACGGAACUUUGCUUUCACCACCAAAGCACAACCCCUUGCGGACAAGAGCGCGCAACUCCAAGUAGAGUGAUAUCCAACUACAUGGCUUACCUGCUCUCCAUUCGUCCUGAGAUGCUGCUGCUUGGGAGCAGGAACGGUAUCUUCAGUAUUGCCUGUGAUGAUAUCGAGCUCAUGAUGGGUGGUGAGUUAGAGCCGGACGUAAGAGGACUUGCACAAGGAAUUCUUCACAGGUCACAACAAGCUCCCUCAUCACACGCUAGCAACAUAGGAGCUUUGGUCCCCAAUGCAUGCAGGCUUGCUGAAGCAUUGAUGGAGCUGCAGGAUGAACAGGUGAGGUGGGAGGUGAUCCAGGGGGUAUGGGUCGAGAUGCUAUGCUACUCCGCCAGUAGGUGCAGGGGGUACUUGCAUGCCAAGAACAUGAAUGAAGGUCCGGAGCUGCUCUCUCAUGUCUGGAUCCUCUUGGCAUUCAUGGGGAUGGAGACAUCUGCCGACAGGUAUCAAAAGUCGGAGCCUCCCGAAACCAACGAAGAAGAAGUAGAAGGUGGAGACGUUGGUGGUGAAGGCAGAUCCAUCCAGAAUGAGAUUAACAUAUCAGUCUAA